AUACCUUCAAUAUUAUUGUAUCACUAUUCUCACUGUCGAGCAAUAUGAAAUCUAUUUUGCAUCCAUUUAUGUGUAGUAAUGGCUCUAGAUUGGAAAGAGGUCCAAUUAUUGUAUAAUCUAAAUACAAAGUAGACCUGGGCCUCCUAGAAAGGCCUAGACCACUUGUUAUUUCCGCUAUCGAGUAGGAGUGAGUCCAGUGAGCGAAAUAUCGGCCGGCAUGAUUUUUAAAUUUCCGGGGUCAGAGAAAAUAAAAAUAAAUUAGUGCUCACUACCCCCCACUUUAUAGCGAAAUAUCUACCGGCACGAUGCUCAAAUUUCAGCAUACUACUACUUCAAAUUGAUUUCAAAUUUGGGCCUACCCCCUAAGAAAUCCUGGAUCCGCGCCUGUAAUCAACAUCAUUUAUCUACCAAGUGCUAAAAGGUAUUUCUGCUUUUACAAAUUUUUCCAAUGAUAAAUGUAUGUGUGUGUAGCCACCCAAAGAGACCCAUGGCUUGACAUCCUGUCCGAAGGGUUGCAGGGAUAAGCCUCGUUCACAAAUUCCAUUACGAACUGCUACGAACGCCGUAUGAACGAUUUUCAGACAAUGGAAAUUCGGGAAGACAAUGGAAAAACGGAGAUUCAUACAAAUGCAUUGUCCAUAACUUCAAACAAACCUUUGUGACCGUAGCUUAAAUAUCGGUGUAACUGAAGAGAGGGAAAAACUCUACCAAAGUACUUUUGUAUCGUACGUACUGACAAGAUGUGGGAUGUAACGACACUGAUUUGUCGUUCCCCAGAAUUACUCAUGCAAUUCUCUCUGUUAUUUAUGGCAUGCACGGCUACCCAACUCAAUAUGUACAUGUGUAUACGAAGAUAUGACUUUGUCGAUGCAAUUGUUGUCAUUAUUGUAUUGAGACUUCAAACACUGUUUAUUUUAUACAAGUAAAUGUUCUUGCUUCCAUGACAUUCAUGGAAGUCUCAAGACCGAAAUAUUUGA